UACGGAGGGUGCAAGCGUUAUCCGGAUUCACUGGGUUUAAAGGGUGUGUAGGCGGGUAUUUAAGUCAGUGGUGAAAUCUCCAGGCUCAACCUGGAAACUGCCAUUGAUACUAUUUAUCUUGAAUAUCGUUGAGGUAGGUCGGAAUAUGUCAUGUAGCGGUGAAAUGCUUAGAGAUGACAUAGAACACCAAUUGCGAAGGCAGCUUACUAAACGAAGAUUGACGCUGAGGCACGAAAGCGUGGGGAUCAAACAGG
rnacentral:rRNA from 1 species